UACGGGGGGAGCAAGCGUUGUUCGGAUUUACUGGGCGUAAAGGGCGCGUAGGCGGCCACCGCAAGUCGGUUGUGAAAUCUCUGGGCUUAACCCAGAAAGGUCAACCGAUACUGCGGGGCUAGAGUGCAGAAGGGGCAACUGGAAUUCUCGGUGUAGCGGUGAAAUGCGUAGAUAUCGAGAGGAACACCGGUGGCGAAGGCGGCUUCCUGGACCGACACUGACGCUGAGGCGCGAAAGCUAGGGGAGCAAACGGG
rnacentral:rRNA from 1 species